AACAAGAUCCCUUCACCAUUGCAAUCCACCAUAAGCUUGCGGUUGGGACCUUCUAUAAGCCUACCAGCAAAAGGGUAAUAAUACACAAGUGCUUCACUUAUAGCUUCCUUGAUGACCUUCACGGGAUCUUUUUCUUUGAGUACUGGAGGUGAUGAUGCAGAGUUAUUCUUGUAAAGGAAUAUUACUGGAAUAUGAAACCUGAAACUUUCUUGGUCGUCUAUAUCGGAAAGUUGCUUUAAUUCACGCGGUGUUGGCCUUGCCGGAACAAUUAAUUCCGGUGCCUGCCGGGUUACUGACAAAACUAGAGAAAAUUUUGGAGCCAUUUUAAAUUUUCAAUGUUAGUUACUAGUUUGGUUGUUCUGGUAAGGCUUGAACUGUUUCACUGGUUGCCUUGGCCUCCAAAAAUUUUCAUUUAUAGCUGAAGAAAGAGGCACGUGGGUAGCACGUAUGGAAAGUGACUGUCGCCGAAUUAUGCAGAAGCACGUGUGUGGCACGUUAUACAUAAUUUUUUCAUUCAACUUCAGCAAAAAUAUUCUUGGUCGGUUAGGGUUAAGAUGAUUUAUGUAUAUGUACAGAAAGUGUCCAUCGAUAUAAACAUUUGUUUCCUACUUGAUUAAUUUCGAAAACAAUUAUAGUCUGCACCUACGGCUUGGCGGAGUGGUUGUCAAUCCAUUUUUUCUUUGAUUCGCCAUCCCAAAUUCAAAUCUUAGUUAAAAAAAAUAAUAAUAAUUUAAACUUCGUUCAUCUUUAUGCUUUGCUAUGAGAGUACUUCGUUCGUUGGAAUGGUGAUUUUCAAACACUGGAUCAUCACCUAUAUUAUAGCAUUCCAAAUUAAAAAUACGGAUCAAAUUUGAAGAGAAAUACAAAACGAUAAUGCGCUUAGAGUACCCAAGACUCUACUAUGUAUUGAACAUGAUGACGAGCACGUUUCUUGUAAAAUUAGGACGCUAUUGAAUAUGUUGUGAUAAGGUGGUGUACUGUAAUUUAGGAGGCAAAUUCUCCUUCCAAUAAUUCUUGCAACACUUGGCUGAUUGAGCUUGUUCCCCUAAAUAAACAAUUAAGAGCAAUGGGCAACCAAGAAUGCCUUCAGAACCUGGAACAUUAUAGGUCAAUUGUUCCAAAUACGGGCAUGGAGACUGAAUAGCACCGCCAAGCUGCUCAAGUUUGAAGUUAGCUUCAGCCUCGAGAAACAAGAUCCCUUCACCAUUGCAAUCCACCAUAAGCUUGCGGUUGGGACCUUCUAUAAGCCUACCAGCAAAAGGGUAAUAAUACACAAGUGCUUCACUUAUAGCUUCCUUGAUGACCUUCACGGGAUCUUUUUCUUUGAGUACUGGAGGUGAUGAUGCAGAGUUAUUCUUGUAAAGGAAUAUUACUGGAAUAUGAAACCUGAAACUUUCUUGGUCGUCUAUAUCGGAAAGUUGCUUUAAUUCACGCGGUGUUGGCCUUGCCGGAACAAUUAAUUCCGGUGCCUGCCGGGUUACUGAC
rnacentral:lncRNA from 1 species